rnacentral:rRNA from 1 species
UACGGGGGGGGGCAAGCGUUGUUCGGAAUUACUGGGCGUAAAGGGCUCGUAGGCGGCCAACUAAGUCAGACGUGAAAUCCCUCGGCUUAACCGGGGAACUGCGUCUGAUACUGGAUGGCUUGAGGUUGGGAGAGGGAUGCGGAAUUCCAGGUGUAGCGGUGAAAUGCGUAGAUAUCUGGAGGAACACCGGUGGCGAAGGCGGCAUCCUGGACCAAUUCUGACGCUGAGGCGCGAAAGCUAGGGGAGCGAACGGG